rnacentral:rRNA from 1 species
CAAGGUAAUCAAGAACUCCCUGAGUGCUGGUUUUACCAAGAAUGGUACGUCCAACACUUGUCAACGCGGUUAACGCGGCACGAUCUGCCCCUGUAAAAUAUGGGAGUUUAUCUGCUGAUGUAGCAAGCUCUGCCAGCGCCGUCAGGGUGGCAUCCUUCGGUGCUUACCGCAAGCGCGUUAGUCAUGGUGGUCGCAAAAUUACGGGUCAUUGCCCGAGCGCUGCAGCCAGUUCGUUCAGCGUG